GCGCCGAUCGUCUAGAGGCAUGAUGCGGCCCUGCCACGGCUGCGGCCCGGGUUCGAUUCCCGGUCGGCGCA
rnacentral:tRNA from 1 species